AUGCAGUCGAGCGGAACGAGUUAUCUGAACCUUCGGGGAACGAUAACGGCGUCGAGCGGCGGACGGGUGAGUAAUGCCUAGGAAAUUGCCCUGAUGUGGGGGAUAACCAUUGGAAACGAUGGCUAAUACCGCAUGAUGCCUACGGGCCAAAGAGGGGGACCUUCGGGCCUCUCGCGUCAGGAUAUGCCUAGGUGGGAUUAGCUAGUUGGUGAGGUAAGGGCUCACCAAGGCGACGAUCCCUAGCUGGUCUGAGAGGAUGAUCAGCCACACUGGAACUGAGACACGGUCCAGACUCCUACGGGAGGCAGCAGUGGGGAAUAUUGCACAAUGGGCGCAAGCCUGAUGCAGCCAUGCCGCGUGUGUGAAGAAGGCCUUCGGGUUGUAAAGCACUUUCAGUCGUGAGGAAGGUGGUGUAGUUAAUAGCUGCAUUAUUUGACGUUAGCGACAGAAGAAGCACCGGCUAACUCCGUGCCAGCAGCCGCGGUAAUACGGAGGGUGCGAGCGUUAAUCGGAAUUACUGGGCGUAAAGCGCAUGCAGGUGGUUUGUUAAGUCAGAUGUGAAAGCCCGGGGCUCAACCUCGGAAUUGCAUUUGAAACUGGCAGACUAGAGUACUGUAGAGGGGGGUAGAAUUUCAGGUGUAGCGGUGAAAUGCGUAGAGAUCUGAAGGAAUACCGGUGGCGAAGGCGGCCCCCUGGACAGAUACUGACACUCAGAUGCGAAAGCGUGGGGAGCAAACAGGAUUAGAUACCCUGGUAGUCCACGCCGUAAACGAUGUCUACUUGGAGGUUGUGGCCUUGAGCCGUGGCUUUCGGAGCUAACGCGUUAAGUAGACCGCCUGGGGAGUACGGUCGCAAGAUUAAAACUCAAAUGAAUUGACGGGGGCCCGCACAAGCGGUGGAGCAUGUGGUUUAAUUCGAUGCAACGCGAAGAACCUUACCUACUCUUGACAUCCAGAGAACUUUCCAGAGAUGGAUUGGUGCCUUUCGGGAACUCUGAAAACAGGUGCUGCCAUGGCUGUCCUUCAGCUCCGUGUUGUGAAAUGUUUGGGUUAAGUUCCCGCAACCAAGCGCAACCCUUUAUCCUUGUUUUGCCA
rnacentral:rRNA from 1 species